rnacentral:lncRNA from 1 species
GCAAAAAAAAAUUACACAUAUCUCAUAUGCUUGUAAAGUAUAGAUGACUAACGUAUAAUCAUGGUUGCCAAGUUGAAAAGAAGAUCUUGCAUAUGGACUGACAUAUUCUAAACACAGUAUUACAAUCUCCAUCACAACGGUUCAGAGAUGAAUGGCAGGCAUAGAAAAGUAAACUGAAAAUUGUUGCAACUCACGUCUGACAAAACUCGAAAGUCAAAACUUUUCACCAACAGAGGUAUAUAUAGGGGAGCCAAUAUAUACAUGGAUCAGUGUGCAGUGCAUGUAGUAAUUAAACACAGGGCAAAAUGUCAAUCUAACCUGUGCAGCGCAUGCGAGAUCAAGGCGCCCGCACGACAACGUGAUUCAGUGGUCAGGCCACCGGCCUCCUCGGUCCUGUAGCCUUUUGUGGUGUCUGUAGAGAUCGUGUGGGCAGCGACACCACGAUGCGCUGAAGAUGGUCACCUUGAGCCAAGGGCGCUACAACGCUGUGGUCCUUAGAGGUAGCGACACCACAAUUUAGUAUUUCAAAUAAAUGUCCUACCCAGUCAAAGUAAGGGAAAAUUAAUUCAAAGCAAAGACGAAACAAAAUUUUGGGACAUUGGUAAACAAGGUAAAACAUGAAGAUAUAUCAGCUAAAAUCUUUACGUCCACAUUGGGACAUUGGUAAACAAGGUAAAGCAUGAAGAUAUAUCAGCUAGAAUCUGACCUCCACAUUGCAGUAAAAAGUACCGAGAAACAAUGUAAAACAUGACGAAGAUCAGCUAGAAGUUGUACCUCCGCAUCGAGAUGCUGACAAAAUACUCGUCAACGGAAGUGCAGGGACCUAUAUCAAGUAUGGUGCUUGUGCAUAAGUAACACAAUCAGGUAAAGAGAAAUUGAAACAAAAUGCCAUAUGUUAGUUUAGGAUCCUCCAGCCAUUAAUUUCUGAAGUACAUUGUAUAUAAAAUAGAACUGUUUCUAUUUUUCUAAGCCCCUCCACUGAAUGCUUUAUUAUUAUAGCAAACAUGCCCGUGCGUUGCAACAGGAGAAAAAAAAUCAUACGCCUCUAGCCUAAUAAGCAUUUCUCAAGCCCCUUCUCUGGUCCAUCUCUAUUUAAAGACGAAACCUCAUUUUAGAAAAAGUAGCUAUUCUAUAGUUAUUCGGUUAGAUAAUAACUGGUUUCUUGCUCUAAAAAUAAUUUAACAGGUUAAUUAUGUCCCUUUGAAUAGUAAUGCUCACCUUUAAUACUUGGAUUGGACGGUGAACUUCAGAAACUCACCUCAUCUCUUCUUCUUCAGAAUGUCCAUCCCUUGCUAGUCUCAUGAAGAUGAGGUCUCAACAUUGUACCUGUAGAAAGAAAAUAUCAUGAUUAGUUUCGGACAAAAAUUGUUGGGUAAAGGAGAUAUGUUGCUCUUCUUUUCAUCAUUACGGAGUUAUGCAUCAGUAGAAAGAACCCAUAUCCCUAUGCAUGUCCUUGCUCAUUAAUGGAUUUUUUAGAUAGAGAAAGGAGAGCACAGACAUAAUAUGUUUUUCUAGAGAACAAUGCAGAUAAUAUUUAAGGAAACACUAACAAUUAACAUGGCAUAGGGCCGAGCUGAAACUUUACAAAACCUAAUGCAUGAGAAUAUGAGAUAGUACAUGAAUAGUAGGGCCAAGCUGCAUAGCUACAAGUUUCACUAAAGAUACAGUCUGGAUGAUAUCUCUACUCCAAGAGCAUCUACUGACAGAAAGAGGCUAUAAAACUUACCUCCAGCAGGCGAGCGGGCUGCAACCUCAAGAGCCUCUAGCACCCUGAUUGCAGUAAACCAGCUGUUUGGCCGUGCCAGCAUGUCCCAGCCUCCCAGUCACCACCCCGUGUGGUACCUCUACUGUACUGAGAAGCACACAACGACAUACCUGUCACACUCAAAUCGAGCACAUGGACUAACUGAAAUUAUUGAUGCACAUCUCGUCAAACAACUCGACAGUAUGAGGCUUACAGGAAUGCCGUGUGCUGGGUGAGCAAGAAAGGAUGUGGCAUGCUCAUACAGUGGGUCAUCCGGCAAAAUAUCUAUUGUGAAAUUUAAG